GAGCUAAACGCGCAUAUGGCGUAUUCGCGUGCGUCGCAUAGCACGUAUUAAAUGCGCGUUUAGGGGUGAUAGGCUUUUCAAACGUUCGUAUAACUUGUUUCAUAUGAAAAGUAUUUAGUACCUAAACAAAUUUGAAAAGUUAAGCUUUUAAAUUAUUAUUAAAGAUAUUAUUCCCUUGUAGUGUAGUUUAAUAGCUAUCUACAUAGUAACUUAACAUUAAUUAUGUUAGUUUAUAUAUUAUAGUAUGACGCUAGCAAUUUUGUUAAUAAAUUGAAAAUGUUAGUAUUAGUAAUAUUAGUAUAUGUGCUAAAGGAACUCGGCAAAAAACCGCUCAACUGUUUAUCAAAAACAUAGCUAUAUGAAUUAGUAUAUAGUUGUUUCUGCUCAAUGACUUAAAUAGCCGCAGUACUCUGACUGUGCAAAGGUAGCAUAAUCAGUUGGCUUUUAAUUAGAGUCUGGUAUGAACGAAAAUAUGGGUAGUAACUGUCUUAGCACAUUUCUUUGAACUUGUUAAACAAGUGCAAAUACUUGUAAUUAAACAAUAGACGAGAAGACCCUAGAAACUUGGACAUGUUUUUGUUGGGGCGACAGAAUUACAUUUAACUAAUCUUCUAAUACAUGACGCGAUGCUGGAAGAAUAAGUUACUCUAGGGAUAACAGCAUAAUUUCAUUAGUUUGUGACCUCGAUGUUGGACUAGGUACUAUACCCUUAAGGCAAGGAUAUAUUGUGCUCUGUUCGAGCAAAAUUACCUACAUGAUCUGAGUUCAGACCGG
rnacentral:rRNA from 1 species